CGUCCGAUCCAUAACUGAGCAAUUUUAAAAAGACUAUCAUAGACAGGAAGAAUUUUCAUACCUGGGAGAUGAUAGUGGUGACAGAGAGUUCACCUCCCUCAAAUUCUGAUCUUCAGUACGCCUCACUCAACUCUCUUCUCAAUCUCAGGUCUCCACUAACAGCUCUGCCGAAAGGUCUCCAGGAGCCUUCAGACAUAAUUAAAGAAGUUCUGGGGAUAGAAGCCCCAUCUUUACUACCACAAGGAAGGUUCCUACUAAAGACCUCUCCUAAGCCUUCUCCACUGGCUCAACCCUGAACACUCAACAAUGAACAUUCCACAAUGAAAUACAACAACACCUACCAACAAACCACAACGUAUCAAAGUACAGUGGAUUAGAAACUUCGAAACAAAACAAAAAACCAAAAUCCUGGUCUUCGCCAAACACGUUGGGGAGCACUGCACAAAAACAUAUGGCAUCAGUCACUGCCUCGAACAGCUCAGAGGAGACAGGCUGUGCACGCAGAACCGUGCCAAAGGGGACUGGCAGGGGUGCUCCUGCCCUAUAUAGAACCUAAAAUGAAAGUAUGGGGCAUUUGAGUUUACUAUACAAGGCACCAAAGAUAUUUACAGAUG